CAGAACAAAAUACGUCAUACAUGUGUUUGUUUACCAAUGACAUAAAGAAACAACGUCAUUGAAAUAUUUAUAAAACGCCUAGCUGCACUUAAUUUCAGUUUGAAUUUUCAUUGAGAGGAUCAAGUGAGGAGAUUUAAAGUUAUACGAUUUUUUUCUUCAAUAAAAUAUCUAUCAAGUUUGUUUCUCAUUAUCCAAAAAAAAAUGUUUUAUCAGCUAUUUUUAUCCUGGAUGGGGCAGUUCGUCUGUGAUAUUAUUGACAAAGGAAGGGAAUUUCGAAAAUACUAGAUACAUAAAGGAGAACAAACUUAAAAAAAAGUUAUUCGCCACCAUUUGCAGUUCACAUAUUUCUAAAUCUUUGCAAUAUCUCUCCACUCAGAAACGUAAGUCUCAAAGAACCACCUCCAAAGCAACUACGUCUGCUAAGAUAUCAAGUGAAAAUGAAGCCAUAAUUCAAGCUGAGCAUGCUUUCAUGAAUAAGGACUGUCUCAUUGAUUUCAAAGAUUUCUUCAAAAAUGCUCAAAUCACACUUCCAAGUAACUUCCAUUUAAAAAUAUAAAUGAAGAUCGUCUUACAUUUUUCCACCUGUUAUAAUUCUCUCUAAUACUAAUUGAAAUCAAGAUCAAUGUUAAUGUUAAGAAGGAUACGUUUUUCGUUCUAUAUGAUAAUAAAUUUUAAAAUAUGCUCCAAGCUUACUCAAUAAAUUAACACAAAACAACAUCCCCAAGAUAUUGUCACUGCUAUUUAUAUCCAUCAUAGAAUCAAGCAAAUCAUUCCAAGACUGCUCGGCCAAAUUAAUAAACUUCAAUUUAUAUUCCUUUUCCUAAACUUGUGUAAAUAUAACUUCAUAGUGAAUAAAAAAGUAACUGUAGUUUGGAAAAAGAAUUAUAACACGUUAUUGAUUUACAUCUAUUAUUUUACUCCUAGCAAAAUAUUAUAAGUAUUUAACUUAGUGGGUUGUAUUAAAAUUAACUUAAAACUGUCCAUUACAAAAAUACUAUUUUUAAAAAGAUUUAUAUUCUAUAAAUAAGUUAUAAUUUAUACAAGAUUUAGCCUCCUCAGAUCAAAUAUGAAAUCGACAUAUGAGUAUUUUUAUCUACCUGAUUGUAAUUUUAGUCUUAUAUAGGAAGUAUUACGUAUAUAAAAACUAUUUCAUAACUUAUUUAUUUCAACAUGAUGAUAAAUAUAACUUUUGGAGUCC
rnacentral:lncRNA from 1 species